rnacentral:misc_RNA from 1 species
UAGCCGUACCGGAAGGUGCGGCUGGAUCACCUCCUUUCUAAGGAGCACCACGAGAUACACUCCAAUUGGUGGGGUGUAAGCCGUGAGGGGUUCUCGUCUGUAGUGGACGGAAGCCGGGUGCACAACAACAAGCAAGCCAGACACACUAUUGGGUCCUGAGGCAACAUCUCUGUUGGUUUCGUGAUGUUGUCCCACCAUCUUGGUGGUGGGGUGUGGUGUUUGAGAAU